ACAGGAGAUUAAUCAAAGGGGAAAAGGAACAUUUGACCACCAGCUAGCAUAAGGAUUUCAUUUUCAGUGGUUUGAGGUUUAAGGGGCAUGGCAUGUUGGCACCAUUCACAGCUGGAUGGCAGAGCAAUGGUGUGCAUCCGUUGGUUAUUUAGAGAUCUGAGGGUUCUUAUGUUUAUGACAUCAAUGGGAACAAGUAUCCAGAUUCUCUAGCAGGACUGUGGUGUACAACUUUAGGAGAGUACCAAAUUUGUGAAGACUUUCAUUUCUUACAUUCGUUACUUUCAGCCGCUGAACAAACCAAGGUAAAGAACGACAAACACGGAAAAGGCUAGCUGUUGGCUGUGGGUGCUGAGCUGACGGACAGUGUGGAAGAAGGUGUGAUCUUGGCAGUGGCCGAUGAAGUACUUUUUUCUUUACAUGUUGAUCACUACUGCACUGUUCAAGUUCUUAAUCAAGUGACUGAUCGACUGUGAUUGUGGUUCACAACCAAGGGAAUGCUAACCGUGGUGGUGAUUGAAGAGCCCUUAAUCAAUUCGGCCCUGUAGAUUGGAGCACCAACAUGGGAUAUUGCACCAUCUAGCUCCGUCUAUCUGAUUCAUCUUAUUUUCUUGGUCUAUCAACUAGAGGAAUCUACAGAUUCUUGAAUACGUUCCUGACCUUGUGCAAUCGAUAGUUGGUCUGAUCUCAUCCUCCGACGACCAAGAGUUCCGAGACGAAUGCGUGGUGCCCCUUGCGAAACAUAGGGACAUGACAGAAAGUUGCAAGUCCACAAGUUGAUCUAAGAUGUUCCGGUCAUCGCUUUUGUUCAUAACAUGGUAGACACGUUUUGUUCAUAUGGAUGUUUAUGCCGGCUUGGUGAUUGAAGGAUUGGUCUCUUUCAUAAUACUCCCUCUACCAAAAUACUCGUAGUUGGGGGAACUUGAACUAGUUUCCCCCAACUACAAGUAUUUCAGCACAGAGGAAGUAUUUUGUAGUAGCCAAGUGAUCGAACAAUUGGUCUCUUAGGAGCUUAGCCUUUAUAUUUUGUAGUAGGACAUGUCUUGUAUGUCGACUUAUGUAUUACCUUCAUGGUUGUAGCAAACUCGAGUGAAGAUACCAAAUUUUCAAUAUAUGUUGAAUAAAUGUACUAGUGAAUGGUGAAUGGUGUCUUGUGAUGAAUAGAAGAGUGCAAUUAUUUGUAUA